UACGAAGGGGGCUAGCGUUGCUCGGAAUCACUGGGCGUAAAGGGCGCGUAGGCGGCCGCUCAAGUCGGGGGUGAAAGCCUGUGGCUUAACCACAGAAUUGCCUUCGAUACUGUUUGGCUUGAGACCGGAAGAGGUGAGUGGAACUGCGAGUGUAGAGGUGAAAUUCGUAGAUAUUCGCAAGAACACCCGUGGCGAAGGCGGCUCUCUGGGACGGUACUGACGCUGAGACGCGAAAGCGUGGGGAGCGAACAGG
rnacentral:rRNA from 1 species